GACGAACGCUGGCGGCGUGCUUAACACAUGCAAGUCGAACGGAAAGGCCCUGCUUUUGUGGGGUGCUCGAGUGGCGAACGGGUGAGUAACACGUGAGUAACCUGCCCUUGACUUUGGGAUAACUUCAGGAAACUGGGGCUAAUACCGGAUAGGAGCUCCUGCUGCAUGGUGGGGGUUGGAAAGUUUCGGCGGUUGGGGAUGGACUCGCGGCUUAUCAGCUUGUUGGUGGGGUAGUGGCUUACCAAGGCUUUGACGGGUAGCCGGCCUGAGAGGGUGACCGGCCACAUGGCGACUGCGAUACGGCCCAGACGCCUACGGGAGGCAGCAGUGGGGAAUAUGGCACAGUGGGCGGGAGCCUGAUGCAGCAACGCCGCGUGCGUGAUGACGGCCUUCUGGUUGUAAACCGCUUUCGCCUGUGACGAAGCGUGAGUGACGGUAAUGGGUAAAGAAGCACCGGCUAACUACGUG
rnacentral:rRNA from 1 species